GAACUGCAGCACUGAGCUGACCCCAAUUACAGCCCAAAAUGAGGGACCCACAACUGCUCCGAAGCUCCAUGAGGAUGAGCUGCCGGCCCCACACCCCACCGCUGGCCCCACACGGUGCCACCAGCAUCGCUCCUGUGUCACCUGCGUCGGCUCCUAUGGGGCAGAGGGGGCCUGUGUCUGGAGCCAUGGCCUGCAGCAGGGCUGAGCUGUGCCAGGGGACAAGAGUGGAACUUCCUGCGCUGCCCCAUAGAGGAGGGAGAGGGGAAGUGUGGGGCAGGGUCACGGUAAGGGGCUCUAUGGGGCUCUGUGGGGUCUCUGUGGGGUCUCUAUGGGUCUUUAUGGGAUCUCUCUAUGGGGUCUCUCUAUGGGUCUCUGUAAGUCUCUAUGGGGUCUCUAUGGGUCCCUAUAGGUCCCUAUGGGUCCCUGUGGGUCUCUGUGGGGUUCUUAUGGGUCCCUAUGGGGCUCUAUGGGGUUACUAUGGGUCUCUAUGGAUCUCUGUGGGGCAUCUGUGGGUCUCUAUGGGGUCUCUGUGGGGCUCUAUGGGGCAUCUGUGGGUCUCUAUGGGGUCUCUGUGGGUCUCCAUGGGGUCUCUGUGGGUCCCUAUGGGUCUCUAUGGGUCCCUAUGUGUCCCUAUGGGUCCCUAUGGGUCUCUAUGGGUCUCUAUGGGUCUCUAUGGGUCUCUAUGGGUCCCUAUGGGUCUCUAUGGGUCUCUAUGGGUCUCUAUGGGUCCCUAUGUGUCCCUAAGGGGUCCCUAUGGUGUCUCUGUGUCUCUAUGGGUCCCUAUGGGGUUUCUAUGGGUCCCCAUGUGUCCCUAUGGGGUCUCUGUGUGUCCCUAUGGGGUCUCUAUGGGGUCUAUGGGUCCCUAUGUCUCCCUAUGUGUCCCUAUGGGGUCCCUAUGGUGUCCCUAUGUCUCCCUAUGGGUCCUUAUGGGGUUUCUAUGGGUCUCUAUGGGUCCCUAUGUGUCUCUAUGGGUCCCUAUGGGUCCCUAUGGGGUCUCUAUGGGGUCUAUGUGUCCCUAUGUCUUCCUAUGUGUCCCUAUGGGGUCCCUAUGUGUCUCUAUGUCUCUAUGGGUCCCUAUGGGGUCUCUGUGGGUCCCUAUGGGUCUCUAUGGGGUCCCUAUAGUGUCCCUAUGGGGUCCCUACGGUGUCUCUAUGUCUCUAUGGGUCCCUAUGGGGUUUCUAUGGGUCCCUAUGGAGUCUCUAUGGGGUCUCUAUGGGGUCCCUAUGGUCUCUGUGGGUCCCUAUG
rnacentral:lncRNA from 1 species